rnacentral:rRNA from 1 species
GAUGAACGCUGGCGGCGUGCCUAAUACAUGCAAGUCGAGCGAACAGACGAGGAGCUUGCUCCUCUGACGUUAGCGGCGGACGGGUGAGUAACACGUGGAUAACCUACCUCUAAGACUGGGAUAACUUCGGGAAACCGGAGCUAAUACCGGAUAAUAUAUUGAACCGCAUGGUUCAAUAGUGAAAGACGGUUUUGCUGUCACUUAUAGAUGGAUCCGCGCCGCAUUAGCUAGUUGGUAAGGUAACGGCUUACCAAGGCAACGAUGCGUAGCCGACCUGAGAGGGUGAUCGGCCACACUGGAACUGAGACACGGUCCAGACUCCUACGGGAGGCAGCAGUAGGGAAUCUUCCGCAAUGGGCGAAAGCGUGACGGAGCAACGCCGCGUGAGUGAUGAAGGUCUUCGGAUCGUAAAACUCUGUUAUUAGGGAAGAACAAAUGUGUAAGUAACUAUGCACGUCUUGACGGUACCUAAUCAGAAAGCCACGGCUAACUACGUG